CUUGCGAACAAAUAAGAGGUCCAGCCUGCCCAGUGACACUGUUCAACGGCCGCGGUAUCCUAACCGUGCGAAGGUAGCGUAAUCACUUGUUCUUUAAUUGAGGACUAGUAUGAACGGCCCCACGAGGACUACACUGUCUCCUUUUUCUAAUCAAUGAAACUGAUCUCCUCGUGAAGAAGCGAGGAUAAAUAUAUAAGACGAGAAGACCCUAUGGAGCUUUAAACAGCCGGGAUACUUGCUAAUUUAUAAUAUAUCUUCUGAAAACUAAACAAAUUAAAGCAUCUUACCCCCAAGUUUUAGGUUGGGGUGACCACGGAGAAAAAAUUAACCUCCAUGUUGUAAGAAGUCUACCAUCUUCUAAGCUUAGAGUUACAUCUCCAAGCAUCAACACAUUGACUCUCAUUGACCCAAUAAUUUGAUCAACGAAC
rnacentral:rRNA from 1 species